rnacentral:rRNA from 1 species
UACGUAGGGUGCGAGCGUGUCCGGAAUUAUUGGGCGUAAAGAGCUCGUAGGCGGUUUGUUGCGUCGGCCGUGAAAACUUCACGCUUAACGUGGAGCUUGCGGUCGAUACGGGCAGACUUGAGUUCGGUAGGGGAGACUGGAAUUCCUGGUGUAGCGGUGAAAAUGCGCAGAUAUCAGGAGAACACCCGUGGCGAAGGCGGGCUCUGGCGG